AGAAAAUAGAGAAGUAGAUUAAUGCAUGUCAAAGAAAAAACAAAUUACCCAAUGGAAAUGUCAACAUUAUUUUUAGACACGAUUGAUUUUGUUUUUAUUGUUUUGAGAUACUUAUAUGAACGUAUGGAUUGGUAUUGUAGAUGACUUAAUUGGGCCACAUUUUCAGCCAUUAAAUAGUAAUUCUUACACCGCAGUCUUCUGGAAAUAGCGUGUGCCACCAUAAUAUCCCUUAAAUCUUUGAACAUGUACGACAAUCCAUGACAUGUAGACUACGCUCAUGUAUUUUGGCUAGAGGUGAUUAUCUCCAGCAUUUAUAAUGAAUCAUAUUACAUCGUUACUCUUUUCAACUCAAUUUAUUAAAAAAAUUAUAAAUUAUAGUUUUUUCUCUACAGUUAUUGGUUUUAGGAAAAAAAAUUGAGAAUAAAAAAUAUUUUUAAAUGAAACAAGGAUUAUAAGUUAUAAUUUUUUCAUGACUUCGUCUUGAAAAUAAAAGGGUUGCUAAUUUCACCCACUUUUAAUGUAACAGGAAUAUUGAAAAAAUUCUCCCGGUUAGUCCUUUGCGAAUGCAGUAAAAUUACAGUCUAGUUUCAAGUCUAGCAUUACUGGAAUUUUAGAAAAAAGAUGAAAACUCAAUUUUACUCAGCAUCGGCUGAGGAAGUUUUGUUAUAGAAAAGUCCCAUCUUAAUUUCAUGAGAGCAAUCGCCUUCUAAAUUUUGUUUCAUGAAUUUAGAAACACCCUGUAUAUUUAAGUUGUUAUAAAUUAUGAAUUUAUAACUGCUUUGUAUUUAUUGCGCUCUCUUCAAUACGCAAUUAAAAC